GAGCAGGACUGGCACCAGGUGCAGCAGAAGCUGAUUGAGGAGCUGGACUCCAAGUUGGACCGCCUGGAGUUGGCCCCGCUGCGGCAGCAGUUGGAGGAGCGCUGGAGGAGCGUCCUGAAGCAACUGAAGGAGAGCACACCGCGGGUGGAGGCCGACGACGCUGCUGGGAUUCGGAAGCAGCUGCUGGCCCAUUUCCACUGCGUGUCCUGCGACCGACCCCUGCACAUGCUGGUGCCUGGACCGUGAGUUCUGGGGCGCUCGG
rnacentral:lncRNA from 1 species